rnacentral:rRNA from 1 species
CCCUUAGAUGUCCUGGGCCGCACGCGUGCUACACUGACGCAUACAGCGAGCACUUUCCAGUUCCGAGAGGCUACUGGUAAUCAUCAAUAUGCGUCGUGAUGGGGAUAGAUCUUUGGAAUUCUGGAUCUUGAACGAGGAAUGCCUAGUAAUCGCAGGUCAUUAGCCCGCGAUGAUUAAGUCCCUGCCCUUUGUACACACCGCCCGUCGCUACUACCGAUUUCGAGUGGUCAGGUGAAUCUUUCGGACUGUGGGCGCCCUUGAGGUGUUCGCGGAAAGUCAGGUAAAUCUUAUCACUUAGAGGAAGUAAAAGUCGUAACA